CUUCGUUCUGCUACGACUUGUAACACAUAACCCAACAUAGAAAGUGACGCCACCGAGGAGUCUAUAAUCAUCUUUGGCCUGGAGCCCAAAGUAAUAUCUCAGAUAUGAUGCUACCUUAAACCGGAUGCCGUUCAAUCUUCGUCCAACACCUGUUAGACAUUACACUCUGCUUGUUUUAGUGUUGAAGCGCAACACCAGGAGAUAAUGAGUUACUGUUACGCUGGUCCUGAGGAGGAGCGGACUGAAGGACAGAGGGACCUACAGGUGUCACGUUCACACCAGCCAAGAAGAACACGAGGCCAAGGUUAUCCUGAAAGUAGAAGGGUCCAGGGAACAGCAAUUGUCACUCCAUCAGAAGAACUACUUGAUUCAUCAUCCAUGUGUCCAACCAUCUACAUCUGGGUGGAGACGGGCGGAACUGACUUUAAGGUAAAGGUGUUGCCCAGGUAGAGUUGCCCCUGCUGCUACCGUCCACUGUGUCACACCAUGGGGUAAACUAACGGCAGCCCAGCCAGGCAGUAGAUUUAAUUGAUCGCAUUGUUCACAUUUCCGUAGAUAUAUUUACAGACGGUUGCAGUCCCACACGCCCACCGUAACCUGAGCUGUAGGCACAUCACUAAUGACAACUGUGAUUUUACAGUAGGAGGGGGCUCCCGGGAAAGGGGCUGGACAGGUAUUGUUGUCACUGUGGUGAAGCCCAUUGGGCAUCAACUAAAACACACUCUGUAAACAUUGAGUUGACUAGUGGCAAAGACCGUUGCAGCCAAGAACAUUUGUGGAGGUUCAGAAAAGACACCGCGACACAAAUAUAAAUUGAAAUCAGCCCUAUUGUAUUUGGAACUUCAUGAUAAAAAGUCAUAAUUUAUUUCAUUUGUAAUAUUUUAGAUUAUAGUUUUUAUUGGGCUUUAAAAACUUUAAAGUUUAGCCGUCUAAGGUAAGAGAGACAGACCAAAACUACAACAACAAUUCAUCAGUUACUUUAAAACUUGAAAUGCCAUUCCCUCCUUUCUGAAGCUGAAAAAUGCAUGUGUGUGUUUGUGUCGGUGUUGCAGUACGGCACGUGAUGGUUGAAGAUUACCGUACAGUACUGCCAUGUACAGUAGUACUGUCAUACACUUGUAAUUGUGUGAUAUAAUUUAAUUAACUACAGUGAGUCAUCUGUUGAUGACAUUUGACUCAGUCUGACUCACGGACGUCGCUCACGCCCAGGAACACCUUCAGCUGCUGUGGCCUUUGUGUUUGAAUUAUUUAAAACUCCUUGUCCAAACUUAAAAGUUAAUGCUUCAUUGAAAAUAAAACAAAAAGGCAACAACAGCAGAAGAUUUUCUGAGAAUAAUACAAUAUGCAAUAAAUUAGUGAUUACCAAAACAACAUCCAUGUACAAGCCAGAAAAAAAAAAAAAUUAGCCAAAGUAGUGUUAUUACGGUUAGUAGUAGUAGGAGGAAGAGGAAGAGGAAGAAGACUUCUCCACCCAUUCCCCUCCUUUACUAAAAGAAAAGUUAGUGCUUCGCCCACUCCACCGAAAGAUUUUUUAUGUACUAAUUUAAAGAUCUUUUUUAUCAGGGCAGAACUUUAAAAAAAAAAAAAAAGCCCUGAAAAAGCCUCAGCUGUAAAGCGGCUCAGCUCCAAAUGUCUGAGGUCAUUUUCCCGUGGAACCCUUACCAUGUCAUGAGUGACAGCAGCAAAAGGGUCGGAAAUCGCACUGAUUGUUGUGCGUGUUUUGGCAGUUGAUCACACGCAGUCAAUAAUUUGUUUUUCUCAUUUUUUCAACCAUCAUGUCACCUGACCUCCUGGUAAAUGCUAAGUAAAAGCUGCAGUUAUGUAAGCAUUUCCUCUCUGCCAAAUAUUCAGUAGAGCGAUAAACUGAAACGCUCUGAUGUCUUAUCAGAAGCGCAGGUGCAGCCAAGUGUGUGUGUGUGUGUGUAACCCUGCUAAACGCCGCACAAUAACAAUAAUGGCUGAAACCAUGGGCCUUCUGACCGUGCUGGAGAAGUUAAUUUGGCAAUUUGGUUGCUACUGUUAGCCGUCUCCAAUUUUUUGCGUUUCUGCUUGAGUUUGUUUACGAUUUCCCUGUUUUGAUGAACAAGUGAACACAGUUUUGUUCAACAGGUCUCAUUAAAAAAGGCGGUAACUGCUCCCAUCUUUGUCUGUGAUGCUAAAAUAAUUCCUGACAUUGAAUAAAACACUGAACAGCAGUAGGAAAGUAUUUGAAGGGAGUAUGGGUGCACCCCAGCGUACGCUCAUUAAACACUAUUUUAGGAAGCACACAGGGAGUGCGGGUGGAGCAGCACUUGUGCUAUAUAAUGGUGGUGUUCUAUAAUUGGACUAGAACGCACAGCCCGUCUUUGUCCUUUGUAUAUGAAGAUUUAAGAUAGUGACUGGUUGAAAAUCCUGCUCAAUUUAAUCACUGCCGGGCCAUUGCACGAGUGCGUGUGUGAGUUCACAUGCUGAACCUGUUUGUCACAACAGGUGGAUAUAAAUGUUCCAAAGAAAGCUACGAGCAGGCAUUUUAUUGACACACUGAUUCAACACAGCGUACAUAACAUUUAUUUAACUAAAUGGAUAUUGCAGUACUGUAUAUACAGUACCAUAAACCAUAGCUGUUUGACUGUUAGCACAGGCAUGUGUGCGUUUAAGGCUAGUCAGACUCGUUGUUAGUCAAACACUUUCUACAUUCCCACGAGGCCAGUACUGUAGUUCUGCCUUUUGUACUCCUACUGUCGAUUUGCUUGUUGCAUCUAUUGAAAAGACCAUGAUAUUUGCAUACACACGUUUUUUCUAAGAGUUUUUAAAAGCUUUGUUUCUAAGGCUUAGAUGUUCUUACUUUGAAUGAAAAGGUCAAAAUUAUUAUGAAAUGAACUGUAAAUAAUCCUCUAAUCUAACAUCAAACUUCCCGACUAAGCUUUCAGUUUUUUUUAUAUAUAUAUAAAGAGUCAUUGUUAGCUUCUAUUUUGACCAUUUAGGCAAAUUCAAAACCAGGAAAAUAGAAAAUAGAGGUGGGAAAAUAUUCAGAUAGCACUGACUAACAAGAUACUUUUUUAAAUAUGACAAUUUAGAAAAAAAAAAGAUUAACAGUUCCAGUACGUUAUAGCUAAUUUGAUCCGUUUUUUUAAAUUUGCACUUUGUGGAUUCAAUGAUCCUGUAAAGCCUAUCUUUAGUCUGUCAAUUAAAGCAUUGGUUUGAGGGUUGUUGUUUUUUUUUUUUGCUACGGCCUAAUCGAUAUUUUUCACCUUUUUUCAGCUAAAUCUUAAAAUGAAAUUAACAAUAGUGCCUCUGUUUUCUUUGUUGUUGUUGUUGUUGUUUUCUACUAAACAUGGCAUGACAUGGUAAACUAAUUCAACACAAAAAUGUUUGGAAAAUACAAGGCUUUUCAAAUAUCAUCGACAUGUGCCGUAAAGACAAACGCUGUUGUUUACAUCUGAAACGGUUCCACUCUUCACUAUGAUGGUUGUGGGGGAAGCAGCUAUGGUAGGCACGUAAGUUCUUUUUUUUUUCUUUUUUUUUUUUACCAUUGACACCUUUCUUAGUACUGGUAACAUGCCAAUCCUGGUGUGACCCAACCAGAACGCCUUUCCAUGGAACACAUCACCAUUCUAAGAAAAGUCGUAUACCCAAGACUUGACCACCAGUUAUGGUUUAACUGAUUAAUCUAUGACACCUGUGUAGGUGUUGGCACGAAUUUAUCUGACUGGUUUCUUACUAAAUGAUAGAUGAGAUAAGCCGCGGGUGUGUAGAAUGGAAUGUUAGGGCGCUGUAAAAAGGAGGAAUUUAACUGGAAAAAUACGGUUUGUUUGAAAGUCACUGCUGUUGGAUUUCUUUGAAUGUUUAGUUGUUGGAGGUUUGUUUCCUCAGGUAGAUGGUGUUUGUGAACGCGUUAGCUAUUGAUUCUGCCUGUUGAUGUGGUUAAAGAAACAUCGUCAUUGAACACUGAGAUUAAAUCAGCCUUCAGGGCUAACAUGGCGUUCAUAUAACUGAGCAGCAACAUAGAGUACAAUGUGGAACCAGAGAAGAAUUCCUCGUCCACAGGCUGCACUCCCUUCAAGGUCUACAUAGACCGAUCUAUUUGGGGUUGUGACCCCUUUUUGACAUCACAGAUUUCUGGCGACCCCAGAAACAUUUAAGACUCAUGAAAGGAUGCAGUUGUUUAAAAUGGCGUGCGGUGUUUUUAAUUAUCAUUUCAAAACGAACAAAAAUUAGUUGAAAAAAUAUUUUUAUCUGUAUUUUAUUUAUUAUCAAUUACCAGUCACUUCAACCGGGAGUCGAACCUGGGCUGCCUGGGUAAAAGCAAUAAAACCUGACCAUUAGACCAUAUAGAAAAAAAUUACCGUGCAAGUCUUAGCAAACGACACAGGCACAAGGUUAGGAGUUAGAACAUGUCUGUUAAGCUCCCAGUGUAAAAAGCAGAGACACUUCUAAGUGGUGAACUGGUUCGCUGCCCUAGGGCUGAUGAACUGUAACUGUGCCCAUGCAGCGUACAUAGAAGCUGGGCUAACUGUAAAAAAAAGACCUGAGCUUUUUUAAUCAAACUUAAUGUUAUUUACAUUGUCUUCUUGGCAAAGUCAGCGUUGGUUCUGACGUGACAUUUACAGCAUUGACGUAGGUUUGUAAAUACAAACUGAUCCUGCCAUUUAACACAAAAACAAUCCACCGUGAUUUCACCUAACAACCGUCAUUCAAGCCUGGAGGUGUAAUUGUGUGUGUGGGUCUGUGUGUGUAUUUUAUGUAGACGUUGCAGUUGCAGCUGCGUAACCUUUUGAAUCUAGACAAAGACCCCGACCCCCAAUUUUCCAUUUUAAUCAUUGAGAUGUAAUGACAGUAAUAUUUCAUUCAAAUCUAUCUCCACAUGCUUUGUUAACACGCGGCGUCCCCAUUAAUUAUGAAGGGUCUCCAUCCAUUAUUUCAUUUGAGAGUGAAACACUCGUGGUGAAUGUACGACUGACGCGAUCGCUCUCAGGACAAUUCCACGGCUCCAACUCUGCAGACAGAGAGGAGAAUGUUUUGUCCAGGAAAGUGUCCGUGUGAAGGACAAGAGGUCCAAUUAAAAAGCACUGAGAUGUUUGAUUGUCCAAUUCGACUAAAAACAAAACAAAACUGUACGUAGUAUGAGCAUACAACAAAUAAAAAAAAAAAGAUUGGAAUUGCCAUUCCCAAGAUGAGUGGUGGUUUUCUAUAGAAUUUUUACUAUUGACACAAAAAUAAAACCUUAUUAAAUCAGGCUUUAUUUUAAUGAAGUCCAUUCAGACCAAAUUUACAAAAGGCAUUUUUGUCUCAGUGCAUCUGACAGAUUUUACACUAAGUCUGGAAUAAUUACAUGUAACAAGGACAUAAUGGAGAAAUGUGUUAUAUUAUAAAUGUAUUAUAUUUACAUAGAAAACCAAAUUAGGGACGACAGUUCGAGAGUCCUACCACUGCACGCCUCUCUUUGGACAGA